rnacentral:sRNA from 1 species
AUCUAAGUGAUGGUCAUGGAUAUGCUC